rnacentral:rRNA from 1 species
AUUGUCGAAAGGGAAGCGCUUGAAGUCAGCCAUGCUGCUUGAGACUCAGCCUUGCUUUUGCUUGGUGUAUUUCUCGGUAGCAAGCCAGCAUUGGUUCGAGUCGUCGGAGAAGGGUAUGAGAAAUGUGGCAUCCUCGGAUGUGUUAUAGACUUGUACUGGAUACGACGAUUUGGAUCAAGGAACGCAGUGUGCCUCUGGCGGGUCUUCGGACACCUUCAC